AUUGAACGCUGGCGGUAUGCUUAAAACAUGCAAGUCGAACGAGUAGUUACUUCGGUAACGAGAGUGGCGGACGGGUGAGUAACGCGUAGGAAUCUGACUAUUAGGGGGGCAAAACGGGGGGAAAGUCACGCUAAUACCGCAUACGCCCUAGGGGGGACAGGAGGGGAUCUUCGGACCUUUCGCUAAUAGAGGAGCCUGCGUUAGAUUAGCUAGUUGGUAGGGUAAGGGCCUACCAAGGCGACGAUCUAUAGCUGGUCUGAGAGGACGAUCAGCCACACUGGGACUGAGACACGGCCCAGACUCCUACGGGAGGCAGCAGUGGGGAAUAUUGGACAAUGGGCGCAAGCCUGAUCCAGCAAUACCGCGUGUGUGAAGAAGGCCUUAGGGUUGUAAAGCACUUUCAAUGGGGAGGAAUACCUGGUCGUUAAUACCGGUCAGACUGACAUUACCCAUACAAGAAGCACCGGCUAACUCCGUGCCAUCCGCCGCGGUAAGAC
rnacentral:rRNA from 1 species